rnacentral:rRNA from 1 species
CCAAUAGCGUAUAUUAAGGUUGCUGCGGUUAAAAAGCUCGUAGUUGAAUUUCGGGAUUGAUGCAUCGGUCGUGCCUUAAGGGGUAUGAACUGGUGUAGCCAAUUUCUUACCUUCUGGUGAAUUGUGAUGUCCUCCUUAAUUUGGUGUUUCAAUGAACUAGGACUUUUUACUUUGAAAAAAUUAGAGUGUUUAAAGCAGGCAUUAUUUGCUUGAAUACAUUAGCAUGGAAUAAUAAAAUAGGACAAUGAUUCUAUUUUGUUGGUUUCUAGGAUCACUGUAAUGAUUAAUAGGGAUAGUUGGGGGCAUUAGUAUUCAAUUGUCAGAGGUGAAAUUCUUGGAUUAAUUGAAGACUAACUACUGCGAAAGCAUUUGCCAAGGAUAUUUUCAUUAAUCAAGAACGAAAGUUAGGGGAUCGAAGACGAUUAGGUACGUCGUAGUCUUAACCAUAAACUAUGCCGACUAGGAAUCAGACAACGUUAAAUUUUUAAUGACUUGUUUGGCACCUUACG